CACUGUAGGUGUCACUGGAGCUGCCCACUUUCUGGAAGAGUGAUGGACCCGUGCCCAAAUGGAAUUGCCUCCUGGCUCUGUACCCGCCUAGAUUUCAAGGAUCACUUGUCACAGAUGGAAAACCCUGGAUGAUGUGCCGUUUGUGAUCUCAGAGAAGUUUUAUGAAGUCCCUCAAAAGAUGCAGCAAGUCAAUUUAAUGGGCAUUACGAUCAAAUCCCUGGCAGAGAUCGAGGAGGAAUUUCAGUACAACUUCAGUGCAGAGCGAAGCAUCACCCUGUGAGCCGCACAGACCAGAAUGCCCCUGAACACAACAUUUGUCAAGUAUUUAUGCAACAUUAAGCAAAACCUCAGGAUACAUAAAAACCAUUAUAUAA